rnacentral:rRNA from 1 species
AACGAACGCUGGCGGCAGGCUUAACACAUGCAAGUCGAACGCCCCGCAAGGGGAGUGGCAGACGGGUGAGUAACGCGUGGGAACAUACCCUUUCCUGCGGAAUAGCUCCGGGAAACUGGAAUUAAUACCGCAUACGCCCUACGGGGGAAAGAUUUAUCGGGGAAGGAUUGGCCCGCGUUGGAUUAGCUAGUUGGUGGGGUAAAGGCCUACCAAGGCGACGAUCCAUAGCUGGUCUGAGAGGAUGAUCAGCCACAUUGGGACUGAGACACGGCCCAAACUCCACCGGAAGGCAGCAGUGGGGAAGAUUGGACAAUGGGCGCAAGCCUGAUCCAGCCAUGCCGCGUGAGUGAGGAAGGCGUUAGGGUUGUAAAGCUCUUUCACCGAUGAGAUAAUGACGGUAGUCGGAGAAGAAGCCCCGGCUAACUUCGUG